GUCCACGCCCUAACGAUGAUUACUCGAUGUUGGCGAUACACCGUCCAGCGUCCAAGCGAAAGCGUUAAGUAAUCCACCUGGGGAGUACGGCCGCAAGGCUGAAACUCAAAGGAAUUGACGGGGCCCGCACAAGCGGAGGAGCAUGUGGUUUAAUUCGAUGGUACGCGAGGAACCUUACCUGGGCUUGAAAGUUAGUGACGAAUCCUGAAAGGGAUUCUCCCGCAAGGGCACGAAACUAGGUGCUGCAUGGCUGUCGU
rnacentral:rRNA from 1 species